AUCUUGUUAAGGAGACUAUACUUGAGCCCAUUGGCCAUGGGAACUUGCUGAGAAGUUCUAAUCAAGGACAUAUUCAUAGGCAGACCAUCUGGUUGAAGUGGGAGGAGAUAUUUGAAGAGAAUGUCUGUGAAGAAGUGAAAGGGGUGAUGAAAGAGAACUCUCUAGUGAGAGAUGAUUAUGGAGCCCUUUUGAGUGAUAGCAAGAGUUGUGUGGCUGUCUGGGAACUAAAAAGGAAUAAGAUUAAUGUAAAUAUAAACCGAGACACCCCAUUAUUUGAGAAGGAUACACUUGGGAGAUUGUCUUGUAAACUAAGUGAAAGAGCUGCCAGACACCAUCUCCUGGAAAUGCCUAGAAGAGACAGGAAGCUAAGAGGAAAACAGCAAACCGUGGAAGAGAGACCUGCCAGUCUGCAUCGUAUCACCCACCUCCCCGAGCUGGGCUCCUCAUACUGACUCAAUUUUUCUGGCUAGUAAUUCCAGUACCAUGUUGAAAAGUGGCAAGAGUGAACAUCCCUGUCUUGUUCCUGGUCUUAGAAGAAAAGUUUGAAACUUUCAUCAUUGAGUAUGAUGUUGGUGUGGAUUUGCCACAUAUGGCCUUUAUUUUGUAGAGAUUAAAGGAAGUCUUUUCUCUUAAGCCAUCUAUGACUUACAGCAAUUUGAGACCAUGGAAUCCCAGAGAAUGUGAUCCGAGCUGUGAAACCCAGGGUAAAUGAAAAGGAACCCGACCCUUGGCUCCUCUGCUCUUGCAAACUCUCUCUAGAAGUCAUCGAAGGCUUAAGUUGACCCUUGCAAGCCCUCCAACCCCUCUCAGCUUCAGCCAAUAAGACACAGUUGGCCUAUGACUGGCACCUCUAUAAUCACUUAGAGGCUGCUAGGCUUUUAGCAAAGCAUCUCUUCUAACUUCUCAAGUGUUGUUCUUUUACUUGUUUUACUUUUAGACAAUCUUAUGAACCAGCUCCAGUGAGCAGAGAGGCAGGAGGGACAACCCAUCAAUAAAAUAAUUCAGCCAAAGUCAAUUUUGUUAGAGACUUCUCAUGUUGUACUAGGAAAUCUAGGCUACUAAAAAUCAGGGAAAUCAAAUGGAAUCAUUUCUUUUGGUUCUAAAAGGAAAGCUAUCUUUAAAACUAUCUCUUUCAGAUAUCCCAUGCUCUUGGAUUGAAAGAAUUAGUAUUGUUAAAAUGACCAAACUACCCAAAGCAAUCUACAGAUUUAAUGUAAUCCCUAUCAAAUUACCCAUGACAUUUUUCAUAGAAUACUCUUAAAAUUUAUGUGGAACCACAAAAGCCUCAGAUUUCCCAAAGCAGCCCUACAGAAAAAGAACAAAGCAGCAUGCAGCACCCUCCCAGACUUCAGACAAUACUAUAAAGCUACAGUAAUCAAAACAGAGUGAUAUUGGUACAAAAACAGACAUAUGGAUCAACAGCACAGAAUAUAGAAAGCCCAGAAAUAAAUCCACAUAUAUAUAAUCAAUAGUGUAUUCUUGCCUCCUUUGUUGAAAAUCAGUGGGGAAAAGACAGUCUCGUCAGCAAGUGGUGCUGGGAAUGUUGGAAAACCACAUGCAAAUCAAUGAAUUUGGAACAAUCACCCCCUCUCACCAUACACAAGUAUAAACUCAAAAUGGGUUAUAGACUUAAACAUAAGGCACUACACCUUAGAACUCCUAGAAGAGGUCAUGGGCCAAAUAUUCUGACAGAAAUCAUACCAGUGUUUUCCUAGGUCAGUUUCCUAAGGCAAUCAAAAUAAACAAAUGAGACCUAUUCAAAUUUAUAAGCUUCUGC
ensembl:lncRNA